AGGACCAGCAGUCUCAUUUAAUCUGUGAGAUCUCUCAAACACUGGACCACCAAACAGACAGCAUAUGCCAGCUGAUAUGAAGACCCAACAAACAUACAGUAGAGGACUUCUGGUUCUGUGUUCAUUCAGAAAUGAUGUACCUAACCCUCAAGAGACUGAAGGCCUCAGAGAAUUUUGAGGGAAAUGCUCAAUAUGAUCUGAAGUGAGAUUGUAGGCAUUCCUAUAGACUGAGGAUGAUAUCUAAAGCAAGGAAAAAAGCUUCAAAGAAAAAGAUUUGUUCUCCAUUGCCUGAGAUUAGGGAUCCAGGAGGAGGAGCAUCUGUGUCCCUAGCACUGAGUGCCAAAGCAGUGAAAACAUUCAAAGGAGAGAGUUUCAAAACCAUCCGAACCCAUGAUCAGGCCUGACGAUGGAGAGCUUUGUAAGAUGCAAGAAGAAGACAGUAGGGAGUGCUGGAAGUGACUGAGCAUGAACGAUACUUGUUCUAUACAGCAUGAUGCUCCCCACCCCUAAAAGCUUCAGAGAUCCCUAUCAAAAGGAAUUUCUGACUUUUAUAGGUUUUCAGGGAGUGGUGAGGAUUUCCAUAGCUCAUUAUUUCAUCUGGCCGAUAUUAUGUGACAAGCAGAAUAGAGGGGUCAGGUACAGCCUGUGACUACAAGGCUGUCUUUCAGUUGUAACAGGGAGGAACUGGGCUCUCAUACACCCCAUUCUCCACCAACCCUGUGUGUUACAACUGUCUCAAGAGAUGCUAUCAGCCACAGUCAAGCAUUUACUCUCUCAGGAAUUUUACAUAUCAUAUACUUUCUGUAUGUUAUCAUCACCUACUACAAUUAAUAUAUCAUAGAGAAUGAAUAAAAAUCACUAAAUAUCUAACUCUAAAAUAAUUAGAAUCCAAAGCAUUUGAUGCAUUUCUAGCUCAAGUAUAUAUCCCUGGAAAUAUUUUAAUGUAUCAGGAUAAAUAUGUAAUUUUGGUAGGUCUUUCAAAUCAAUUUAGAAUAUGUUUAACUUUUGUUCCUAGUCUCCCUGUUCAAAUGAACAGAUUAAUAAUCGAAAAA
rnacentral:lncRNA from 1 species